rnacentral:rRNA from 1 species
CUUGGUCAUUUAGAGGAAGUAAAAGUCGUAACAAGGUUGAUCUUUCCAGUAGACGUCUACUGAAGCCUUUGCAGUACGACUCUAAACCGCUGCAAGUUGGUUGACUCCAGCAACACUAUCGAAUUGCGGGAAAUUCCUUGAAGCUUUUAACUACCAACCUGAUGACGCAAGUCAUCCAGGGGUCUAAUGUAAUCCAUUAGAGGGUCAAAAUGUUAAAGGAUUGGAUGAUCCGCAGCCAAGUCCCGGCCAAAUGCUGGGAAAGGUUCACAGACUAAGUGGUAGUGGGUGAGAUAAUCUCGCUUAAGAUAUAGUCGGGCCCUCAGGGAAACUUGAGACUGGUAAUCCAUUGUCCACCACGCGUCAUGGCAGCUCAUUGGUGGCAAACGCGUUGGUCGAGUAAACGGAUAUCAGUAAGGAUCAGCCGUUCCGUAGGUGAACCUGUGGAAGGAUCAUUACCGUGUCAAUGGCCUUCGGGUCGAUCACGCUCCCUGCUUAACUCUGGUUCCUUUGGCAAGUGGACUUGUCAAACAUAAACGCAUGCAAACGGUAUCGGUCAGAGUCUUGGGAAAUCAAAAACUUUCAACAACGGAUCUCUUGGUUCCAGCAUCGAUGAAGAACGCAGCGAAAUGCGAUAAAUAAUGUGAAUUGCAGAAUUCCGUGAAUCAUCGAGUCUUUGAACGCACAUUGCACUCCUUGGCAUUCCGAGGAGUACGCCUGUUCGAGCGUCAUGAACGAUCAAGUCUGACUUGGAUUCGAUUUUGCAUCGCAAUCUCGUAAUGACAUCGGCGACGGACCACAGUGAUGACUCGCUCGCGUCCUCGCCUCAACCUCUCUUCCAGUUGACCUCGGAUCAGGCGGGGAUACCCGCUGAACUUAAGCAUAUCAAUAAGCGGAGGAAAAGAAACCAACCGGGAUUGCCUCAGUAACGGCGAGUGAAGCGGCAAGAGCUCAGAUUUGAAAGCCGGGCGUCUCGCUCCGCAUUGUAAUCUGCAGAGGAUGUCUCGCGAACGAUCAGUCUCAAGUCUCCUGGAACGGAGCGUCAUGGAGGGUGAGAAUCCCGUGGAGAUGAGAUCCGACGCAUGUGAGACUCCUUCGACGAGUCGAGUUGUUUGGGAAUGCAGCUCUAAUGGGGAGGUAAAUUCCUUCUAAAGCUAAAUAUCGGCUGGAGACCGAUAGCGCACAAGUAGAGUGAUCGAAAGAUGAAAAGCACUUUGAAAAGAGAGUCAAACAGCACGUGAAAUUGUUGAAAGGGAAGCGCUGUCCAUCAGACGUGUGGAGGAGGAUCACUCGACGUCUUCGUCGAGGCAUUCUUCCUCCACAGGCCCACAUCGGUUGGGACGGUCAGAGAAAGGCGAUGGGAAUGUGGCUCUUCGGAGUGUUAUAGCCCGUCGUGCAAUAUGGCCCGUCUCGACCGAGGUCUGCGCUUCGGCUCGGAUGUGGGCGUAAUGGUGGUCAGCGGCCCGUCUUGAAACACGGACC